AGAGUUUGAUCCUGGCUCAGAUUGAACGCUGGCGGCAUGCCUUACACAUGCAAGUCGAACGGCAGCACGGGGGCAACCCUGGUGGCGAGUGGCGAACGGGUGAGUAAUACAUCGGAACGUGUCCUGUAGUGGGGGAUAGCCCGGCGAAAGCCGGAUUAAUACCGCAUACGAUCUACGGAAGAAAGCGGGGGAUCCUUCGGGACCUCGCGCUAUAGGGGCGGCCGAUGGCAGAUUAGCUAGUUGGUGGGGUAAAGGCCUACCAAGGCGACGAUCUGUAGCUGGUCUGAGAGGACGACCAGCCACACUGGGACUGAGACACGGCCCAGACUCCUACGGGAGGCAGCAGUGGGGAAUUUUGGACAAUGGGGGAAACCCUGAUCCAGCAAUGCCGCGUGUGUGAAGAAGGCCUUCGGGUUGUAAAGCACUUUUGUCCGGAAAGAAAACUUCUGCCCUAAUACGGCGGGAGGAUGACGGUACCGGAAGAAUAAGCACCGGCUAACUACGUGCCAGCAGCCGCGGUAAUACGUAGGGUGCGAGCGUUAAUCGGAAUUACUGGGCGUAAAGCGUGCGCAGGCGGUCGUAAGACAGAUGUGAAAUC
rnacentral:rRNA from 1 species